UACAGAGGUCUCGAGCGUUGUUCGGAUUCAUUGGGCGUAAAGGGUGCGUAGGCGGCGGGGUAAGUCUGAUGUGAAAUCCCGGGGCUCAACCCUGGAACUGCAUUGGAUACUGCCUUGCUUGAGAGCUGGAGAGGAAACUGGAAUUUACGGUGUAGCAGUGAAAUGCGUAGAGAUCGUAAGGAAGACCAGUGGCGAAGGCGAGUUUCUGGACAGCUACUGACGCUGAGGCACGAAGGCCAGGGGAGCAAACGGG
rnacentral:rRNA from 1 species